CCGGGGACUGACGUCCCCGGCAGAGUGCUGCCGUCCCUACGGGACU
rnacentral:sRNA from 1 species